CCUACGGGUGGCAGCAGUAGGGAAUCUUUCACAAUGGGCGAAAGCCUGAUGGAGCAACGCCGCGUGCAGGAUGAAGGCCUUCGGGUCGUAAACUGCUUUUAUAAGCGAGAAAUAUGAUGGUAAUUUAUGAAUAAGGAUCGGCUAACUACGUGCCAGCAGCCGCGGUCAUACGUAGGAUCCGAGCAUUAUCCGGAGUUACUGGGUGUAAAGAGUUGCGUAGGUGGGAUUAUAAGUAGCUAUUGAAAUCUGGUGGCUCAACCAUUCAGACUAUUAGCGAAAGUGUGAAGCUCGAGACCGUUAGAGGUAAGUGGAAUUUCUAGUGUAGGAGUGAAAUGCGUAGAUAUUAGAAGGAACACCAAUAGCGUAGGCAGGUUACUGGGACGGUUCUGACACUAAGGCACGAAAGCGUAGGGAGCAAACGGGAUUAGAUACCCGUGUAGUC
rnacentral:rRNA from 1 species